rnacentral:sRNA from 1 species
CUGAACUUAAGCAUAUCAAUAAGCGGAGGAAAAGAAACUAACAAGGAUUCCCCUAGUAGCGGCGAGCGAAGCGGGAAAAGCUCAAAUUUGUAAUCUGGCGCUUUCGGCGUCCGAGUUGUAAUCUCGAGAAGUGUUUUCCGCGUCAGACCGCACACAAGUCUCCUGGAACGGAGCGUCACAGUGGUGAGAACCCAGUACACGGUGCGGAUGCCUGAUGCUUUGUGAUACACUUUCGAAGAGUCGAGUUGUUUGGGAAUGCAGCUCAAAUUGGGUGGUAAAUUCCAUCUAAAGCUAAAUAUUGGCGAGAGACCGAUAGCGAACAAGUACCGUGAGGGAAAGAUGAAAAGCACUUUGGAAAGAGAGUUAACAGUACGUGAAAUUGUUGGAAGGGAAACGCUUGAAGUCAGACUUGCUAUUCGGAGCUUGCUUCGAUUCGCAGGCCCGCAUCAGUUUUCCGGGGCGGAAAAUCGUAAGGAGAAGGUAGCAGUUUCGGCUGUGUUAUAGCUCUUUACUGGAUUCGUCCUGGGGGACUGAGGAACGC